UACGUAGGGUGCAAGCGUUGUCCGGAAUUAUUGGGCGUAAAGAGCUCGUAGGCGGUUUGUCGCGUCUGCUGUGAAAACCCGAGGCUCAACCUCGGGUCGGCCGUGGCAACUACUCGGCUCGAGCACUGUAGGGGCGGGUGGAAUUCCGGGUGUAGCGGUGGAAUGCGUAGAGAUCCGGAAGAACACCGGUGGCGAAGGCGGUCUGCUGGGCGAGUUGCUGGACACUGAGGCGCGACAGCGUGGGGAGCAAACAGGG
rnacentral:rRNA from 1 species